rnacentral:rRNA from 1 species
AGAGUUUGAUCCUGGCUCAGAACGAACGUUAGCGGCGNNNNUAACACAUGCAAGUCGCACGAGAAAGGGCUUCGGCCCCGGUACAGUGGCGCACGGGUGAGUAACACGUGGGUAAUCUGCCUUCGAGCGGGGGAUAACAUUCCGAAAGGAGUGCUAAUACCGCAUAAGACCACGCCUUCGAAAGAAGAAGCGGUCAAAGCUGGCCUCUAUACAUAAGCUAGCACUUGAAGAUGAGCCCGCGGAGCAUCAGCUAGUUGGUGAGGUAAUGGCUCACCAAGGCUUAGACGCUUAGCUGGUCUGAGAGGAUGAUCAGCCACCUGGAACUGAGACACGGUCCAGACUCCUACGGGAGGCAGCAGUGGGGAAUCUUGCGCAAUGGGCGAAAGCCUGACGCAGCGACGCCGCGUGAGUGAUGAAGGCCUUCGGGUUGUAAAGCUCUGUGGGGAGAGAAGAAUAAGUGCGGGCUAAUACUCCGCAUGAUGACGGUAUCUCCUUAGCAAGCACCGGCUAACUCUGUGCCAGCAGCCGCGGUAAGACAGAGGGUGCAAACGUUGUUCGGAAUUACUGGGCGUAAAGCGAGUGUAGGCGGUUUGGUAAGUCGGAUGUGAAAGCCCCGGGCUCAACCCGGGAAGUGCACUCGAUACUGCCAAGCUAGAGUAUCGGAGAGGUUGGUGGAAUUCUCGGUGUAGAGGUGAAAUUCGUAGAUAUCGAGAGGAACACCGGUGGCGAAGGCGGCCAACUGGACGAAUACUGACGCUGAGACUCGAAAGCGUGGGGAGCAAACAGGAUUAGAUACCCUAGUAGUCC